rnacentral:sRNA from 1 species
UCUACAGAAACCAGUUGGACCUAAAUCUUUUAUUCCAGCUGUUGGCCAUUACGAGGGGCUUGGAAAACCGCCAGUUAGGCAAUACUUUAAGAUCACGCCCAAACAAGUGCAAGAGACAAGGACCAUGCCGACCUACGAGGUCUACAAUUUCAGCGACCCAUGCCAUUACUACAAAGACACUGUCUAGAUCAUGUCUAGAUCGUGUCAUAUCAGAGACUAGUGCUAGGUGAAAAUAAGUGAAGGCCUUGUGUAAUUAAAACUGCUAUCUCCUCCC